CAAAGAAUAGUUAAACUUAGAAUCCUGGCUUUGGGAGUCAGGGGUAGAGGUUAGAGUCCUCUUUCUUUGA
rnacentral:tRNA from 1 species